rnacentral:rRNA from 1 species
UACGUAGGGUGCAAGCGUUGUCCGGAAUCAUUGGGCGUAAAGCGCGCGUAGGUGGCUUCGUAAGUCCGUUGUGAAAGUCAAAGGCUCAACCUUUGAAAGCCGAUGGAUACUGCGGAGCUAGAGUACGGAAGAGGCGAGUGGAAUUCCUGGUGUAGCGGUGGAAUGCGCAGAUAUCGGAAGGAACGCCGGUGGCGAAAGCGGCCCGCUGGACCGUCUCUCGACGCUGAGGCGC